rnacentral:lncRNA from 1 species
CCAGGCCAGACAAAGGCCCUGUGUCGGCCCAGCUGCGCGGGGCGGUAUUUACGGCGGCCGGGAGUUUAAGAAAACAGGGGCCUUCCGUCCACGGGCGAGCGCGGCCGGCGGGGGAAGCCCGGAGCUAAUUAAAUCUGCGCGGCCGGGGCCACAGAGGCCGAUUGUGCAGCGAGAGGAUGUUAACGCGCAUUUUAAAUAUUUAGUGUAACCGAGCAGGUUCAGGACAGCUGCCCCAGGGACGCAGGCAGGACCUCAUCGUCGUUUGGGAAGGACACCGGAGCCAGCACCUUCCUUUGCCUGCAGCUUUUGCCCCCGUUUGCCCCGUCCUGGGCCCCCCACCCCGUCUUCCUUCCCUGUGUCAAGCAACCUCCGUCCUUUCUCACCGUCCUGUGCCAGGGUCCCCAGUCCCCUCGCCACGUCCCUGCCUCUCCCUGUCCCCCAUCCCUGCACUGCCCCCCCACCACGGGAGGGCUCCAGGCUGCCUCUGGGCUCGUGCGGCGGGGCACCAGCACCUCCCCGGUGCCCCGCCAACAGCCCUUCUCCCCGCCGAGGACUUUCUUUGGGUGUUUCCUCCAGAAGCCAGGCAGUCUCGGCCGUAGCCCAGGGCCAGGAGGCAGGAGCUGGGGCCCCGGGCU